AUCCAACUGACAAGUCCCAAAUAGGAUGAAACGCACGUCCUAGAU
rnacentral:hammerhead_ribozyme from 1 species